UCCUACGGGGGGCAGCAGUCGGGAAUAUUGCGCAAUGGAGGAAACUCUGACGGAGCAACGCCGCGUGGGUGAAGAAGGUCUUCGGAUCGUAAAACCCUGUUGUUAGAGAAGAAAGUGCGUGAGAGUAACUGUUCACGUUUCGACGGUAUCUAACCAGAAAGCCACGGCUAACUACGUGCCAGCAGCCGCGGUAAUACGUAGGUGGCAAGCGUUAUCCGGAUUUAUUGGGCGUAAAGGGAACGCAGGCGGUCUUUUAAGUCUGAUGUGAAAGCCUUCGGCUUAACCGGAGUAGUGCAUUGGAAACU
rnacentral:rRNA from 1 species